rnacentral:sRNA from 1 species
GUAGAUCAUUCUUGAAGGUCUUCAUGUUGAAUAGUAGGCUGAGGAGGAAGAGGAGAGGUUCGUCUUGUCUCAGAAGUGGCAGAGGUGGAAGAAAAUCCACAUCAGCCUGUGGUAGCUGUUCCUCUUGUUAUGCCAGUUUGUAGAAGGAAAGAGGAUGAGGUGUCUAUUGGAAGUGCACCCUUGGCAAAGCAGCAAUCAUAUCAGGCCUCUGAAUAUGCCAGCAGCCCUGUAAAAACAAAAACGGUAACAGCUCCAUUCUUCCAGUCUGUCAGCCCUAAUACCUUGGAAUCAUCUUUGCUUUCUCUCGUACUAUACAUCUAAUCUAUCACUAUUCUUGUACUCAGAAUCCCGCCCAUUGUCAGUUCCUGUUAAAGCCAUGUUGAAUAUAUCUGAAAGCUGUAGAAGUCCUGAAGAAAGAAUGAAGGAAUUUAUUGGAAUUGUUUGGAAUGCAGUGAAGCAUCUCACACUACAGCUUGAAGUACA